rnacentral:miRNA from 1 species
GAGGUGGGAGGAUUGAUUGAGUCCAGGAGGUUGAGGCUGCAGUGAGCUGUGGUUGAGCCACUGCACUCCAGCCUGAGUGACAGAGCAAGACCCUGUCUC